UGAAAAGGGAGAUGAAUGUCUGAAAUGAAAAUCUCAACUGAUUCAGAGAUAAAGAAUAUAAAAUCAGUACUUCUGGGAACAAGCCACAUUAGUCUUCCUCUCUGCAGACCUACUUGCAUUCCAAGAAUAUUUUUCAUCUCUAUCAAAAGCAAGAGGGAUGCAGACAUGAUCACUUUCAUAGCUCACCAUGCCAAGGACCACAAUAACCUGCUGCAUAUGCUUCCUUUGUGCAUCAGUUAUAUGUUAAGAGACUAAAGAUUUACACUCUCCGAAGAGUUUAGAAAAGAUAAUAAACAUUCCCACAGAACGGAUUGCCUUUAUUGAAGAAAUAAAUGUGGUUCAGGAAUUUUUAUACCUGAACA
rnacentral:lncRNA from 1 species